rnacentral:rRNA from 1 species
UACGUAGGGUGCGAGCGUUGUCCGGAAUUAUUGGGCGUAAAGAGCUCGUAGGCGGUUUGUCGCGUCGACUGUGAAAACCCGAGGCUUAACCUCGGGCCUGCAGUCGAUACGGGCAGACUAGAGUUCGGUAGGGGAGACUGGAAUUCCUGGUGUAGCGGUGAAAUGCGUAGAGAUCAGGAGGAACACCUGUGGUGUAGACAGCUUACUGGACGGUCACUGACGCUGAGGCACGAAAGCGUGGGUAGCAAACAGG